AUAGUUUCCAUCCGAACUGAAACAUUCCGCUCCGGUGUAUUCACCACUACUUGCGCAAAUCUGUCAAAUGUUGCCGGUUGCAUUCGUGUGCAAUUCGUCGAACCAAGCAAGCCGGUUCAUCGUCGGCCAUAACUUAAUCUCCCAUUUUAACGAGUAAGAUCCAAAAUAUUCCAACUCUUCGCAAAGUGCAAUUGUCGUUACAAUUCCACUCAAUAAUUGAAGAUUUGCAUUUUCAUAGCGGUUAACAUGUAAACGUUGUGGAAUGUAUCAUAAGUAAGUGAUAAAUCGCGAACGUUUGCGGUAAAAAAAGUGGAAUCGUGCGACGUAUGACUUCUAGCGGUACGGUGUCCGGGUUUUUCGAUGAACGAUCAGUGAAUGUAUGUGGUUUCGUACUCGGUCGGUGGCAAAAGAUGACAAGAACUGCAGAAAAGGUUCGAAUUUUGCGACUGGAUCGAAAGGAAAGCUAGUGCAAUGGCUUUGUUUGCGAAACGUAGUUUGGAAUACAAGGAACUGUCCUUGUUUGCGGGAAACAAUUCCAUCGCAAUGGAGAUGCUAGAGACAAUUAUUGACCGAAAACAAUCGAGUUGUGAACUGAAGAAUUAUUGAAUUUCAACCCGUUAUAAAGGUUUUUCUAAAAAGUGUGUCGAUGUCAUUCAUCAGCGUAUCUUGAGAAUUUUUGUGUAUUUGGCGAUAACUUUCAAGUGAUUAUCGAGGAAGAAAUCAUUGAUUCAAUACCGAAUCACCCCGACUGCAGCUUCACAUCCGAUGAAGCACAGGAUCAACCUGGACCAUCACAGUCUCGCAAAAGACGAUAUGCAGAACCGGUCAACGAGCGCAAUUUGCGACGAAAGGUGAUGCAGUUGGUGGUGGAAAGAAUGGAAAAUCUAUCAAGGCAGACAAACGCAUCAACUAAUUCGUUUGGUUCGUUUAUUGACAUGGAGAUAAACAAGAUGCCACCCGAUAUGGAGAUACGAGCCAAAAAGUUAAUUACAGAUGUAAUUUGGAUGGGCCGCAAAGGUGAAUUGACAGAUGAAAUACGGAUGUGCAAACCGGAUUAGCAUAAUACUUUCUUGUUUUCAAUAAAAAAAAACUAUAAAAAUUACAAAAUACAAAAAAAAACAACACAAAUUACCUGCAAAUAAUCUUUCAACGCUGUUAUGAUAGCGGAACAUGUUUCGGGUAUGAUGGAUGAUAGCAGCGGCUGCGAAAUUGCUGUCUGAAAACGGAGGCACUGGUAGGAGCUGCCGCUGAUGAUAAAUCUCAGUGUAGCACUGAGCCGCUAAUGUGGUGACACAGCUGGUCUCAUAAUCGUGUCUUCCUUCACGAUCAGCGGUGUGACCUUCUCCAAAAGCCACAUGUAUGAUUCCUCAUCCAUUCUGGCGUAAUUUAGCCAAUCCGUCGGCUCCAGCCUCAGCUCUUCCAUCAUGUUGAUAUGCGAUAGGGAACUUCUUUUCAAAUACAUGGGUUUUACCCAUUUCGAUCGCGGCUUUCUUUCGCUUUGUGUAGCAAAUAACGCUCCUAGCAUAAGCAAAACAUCGUCUUCAAUAUUCAUUUUACUAAACUCAUAUAUCGCAUGAACUAAACUGGAAAAAAAAUUGGAGGAAAAUUGCGAGUCAAAACAACGCACCCAAAAUGUAAACAAUCCUCACUUUGACAGAAAAAAAACUAGCGCGAUCGCAUUCUGAAUUCAGCAUGACGACCCAAGGGGAAAUUUUCGAGGAUAAAUAUCUCCCUCUCUUUCUAUUUAUACACCUCUUCCGUUCGCACUCAUGGAUGAUUUUUCACACACUCGAGUUUGGUUCAUGAUGGCUAAAAUGUUUACAUUUUGCUCUCCUUUUAUUAUUAUACCCAUCUCGCUUACGCCUAUAGAUUCACCUUGUUUAGGUGAAUAUGUGUAUGGGCAUGUGUGCACUCGCACGGGGUUUGUCUCGUUACUUUACGAUACGAACGGUAUAUAUUAUACCGUCAUUAAUGUUUUUACAGUUCGUUUGAGUAUUUUCAUUCAAUCCCAAAGUGUUUUAAGUUCAUCGAUCUCUUUCACAUGGUUUUCGAUAUGAUUUUAUUGUCAAGACGGUAGGUUUUAUCGAAAAAAUGUAUAUAACGAAUUGAAACACUUUGUACAAAAUAUGCCGUUUGCAUCGAAAAGUGAAUAGGCGAGCCCUGUAUCUUUGAUCGCUGAUUUUUGGUCUGGCUGCUCAUGGAGAAGCGGUUUCAAGUCGUGCGAUUUGUUUUGAGCAAUUUGUGCAGGCAAUGAUUUCGUCAAUAAAAAAGGAUGCUGCGGAUCUUUCGAUCGUCAAAGGGAUCGGCUCAGGAUAUGCCUUCAAAUACCGUUACUACAUUAACCUUCACAACGACCAUGUUCCGGACAAAAAUGGGGACGACACUGGAGCAUUUCUUUGCCUGGUUCAGCUGCGCAAUAUGUACGUGAUGCAUUUCGCUCGUUCAUGUUCUUAUUGCACCUAACACUAUCGCACUGAGUGGCCGGGAUGGGCCUCCGGCUCGAAGGGAACAAUCGUCACCAACAGGAGAUCGACUACACUGUGUGAACCAUCCUGUCCAGUGCAACCAGGCAACACAACUUUCCUCUUCAGCAACAGCACCAUCAUAAUCCGUGCUAGAAGUAACUCCAACUUGUUGUCGGGAGACUAAAAGAUGCAAAAUUGAUCUUAAAUAAAAGCAUACAAAUUUGUGUA